AUUGAACGCUGGCGGCAUGCCUUACACAUGCAAGUCGAACGGCAGCACGGGAGCAAUCCUGGUGGCGAGUGGCGAACGGGUGAGUAAUACAUCGGAACGUGCCCAGUAGUGGGGGAUAGCCCGGCGAAAGCCGGAUUAAUACCGCAUACGACCUACGGGUGAAAGCGGGGGAUCGCAAGACCUCGCGCUAUUGGAGCGGCCGAUGGCAGAUUAGCUAGUUGGUGGGGUAAAGGCCCACCAAGGCGACGAUCUGUAGCUGGUCUGAGAGGACGACCAGCCACACUGGGACUGAGACACGGCCCAGACUCCUACGGGAGGCAGCAGUGGGGAAUUUUGGACAAUGGGCGCAAGCCUGAUCCAGCCAUGCCGCGUGCGGGAAGAAGGCCU
rnacentral:rRNA from 1 species